UACGUAGGUGACAAGCGUUGUUCGGAAUUACUGGGCGUAAAGCGCACGUAGGCGGAUAUUUAAGUGAGGGGUGAAAUCCCAGGGCUCAACCCUGGAACUGCCUUUCAUACUGGGUAUCUCGAGUUCGAGAGAGGUGAGUGGAAUUGCGAGUGUAGAGGUGAAAUUCGUAGAUAUUCGCAGGAACACCAGUGGCGAAGGCGGCUCACUGGCUCGAUACUGACGCUGAGGUGCGAAAGCGUGGGGAGCAAACAGG
rnacentral:misc_RNA from 1 species